rnacentral:rRNA from 1 species
UACGUAGGGUGCAAGCGUUGUCCGGAAUCAUUGGGCGUAAAGCGCGCGUAGGCGCCCGAUAAGUCCGCUGUAAAAGUCAACGGCUCAACUGUUGAAAGCCGGUGGAUGACUGUCGGGCUAGAGUACGGAAGAGGCAAGUGGAAUUCCUGUGUAGCGGUGGAAUGCGCAGAUAUCAGGAGGAACACCUAUAGCGAAGGCAGCUUGCUGGGACGUUACUGACGCUAAGGCGCGAAAGCGUGGGAGCGAACAGG